rnacentral:lncRNA from 1 species
CCAUUCCCAAUUAGCUUCUCUGCCUUAUGCUUGUGGACCAGAUGGACGAUCUCAGCUACUUGUUCAGUGCCAGGCCUGCCUGUCUGCCUUUGCUAAGAUGGUCAUGGAUUCUAACCAGGAACUGUGAUCCUCAAAUUAUAUGCUUUCUAAAUUGCCACUGUCAGGGUGCUUUGUCACAACAUAGAAAAGUAACUACAACAAUGACAACCACAUAGCAGGCCUUGGAGACUAGUACACUUAAGGACAGAGGAUGGAACAUUAUGGGUGGAGGGAAUGGAGUCCAAGAGAGACUAAAGCUAAGAGACAACCAUCACUAGAGGUCUUUUUGUUUUGCCAGAUUAUAGAUGUAAAUUUGGGGUCGACUUAUAGGGAAAAUUUAAACAGCAACUGCAAAGGAAAAAUAUUACAUUUAAGAUAAGCAAAGAGUAACCUUUCCUUUAAAACAUGAGCAAGUAGAAUCAUAAGUCAAUUUAGGAUUUUUUAGUUGGUCAAUGCAUUGUGAUAUAACUAUUAAAUUAAUGGAAAGG